CAGUAGCCGCGGUAAUACGAGGGGGGCAAGCGUUGUUCGGAAUUAUUGGGCGUAAAGGGUGCGUAGGCGGUUUGGCAAGUUUGGUGUGAAAUCUUCGGGCUCAACUCGAAGUCUGCAUCGAAAACUGCCGGGCUUGAGUAUGGGAGAGGUGAGUGGAAUUUCCGGUGUAGCGGUGAAAUGCGUAGAUAUCGGAAGGAACACCUGUGGCGAAAGCGGCUCACUGGACCAUAACUGACGCUGAUGCACGAAAGCUAGGGGAGCAAACAGGAUUAGAUACCCCGGUAGUCCCUGUCUCUUAUAC
rnacentral:rRNA from 1 species